rnacentral:rRNA from 1 species
UACGGAGGGGGCGAGCGUUAUUCGGAAUUAUUGGGCGUAAAGGGCGCGUAGGCGGCUUUGCAAGUCAAAGGUGAAAUCCCUCGGCUCAACUGAGGAACUGCCUUUGAAACUGUGAGGCUUGAGUCCGGGAGGGGGUAGCGGAAUUCCCAGUGUAGCGGUGAAAUGCGUAGAUAUCGGGAAGAACACCUAUGGCGAAGGCAGCUCUCUGGGACGGUACUGACGCUGAGACGCGAAAGCGUGGGGAGCGAACAGG